rnacentral:RNase_P_RNA from 1 species
UGGAAAGGUGAGGUAAGAGCUCACCAGGGUAUAGGUGACUAUACUGCUAUGUAAACCCCAUCUGGAGCAAGACCAAAUAGGAGGACAUAUAGGGGCUGCCCGUCCCGUCCUCGGGUGUGUCGCUUGAGCCUAUCGGCAACGGUAGGCCUAGAUAGAUGAUUGUCAAAUACAGAACUCGGCUUAUAGACUUAUCUCGUAU